AACACUGUUAACCUGCGGUACCUGCGGAAGGAUCAUUAUUGAAUAGACUUUGUUCAAAAGUUUUUUCAUAUUUCCCUGUUUAUAUUGAAUACGUUCCUUCCACCGGACAGGUCUUUGAGGACCCUCUGGCUUAAGCAAAUGCUUUUGCUGGGGAGUUUGCCGGUGGCGUUUCUAAAAAAACUUUUUGUUAUUUAUGAAAUGUCUGAAUAUAUUUUUUAAAUUAAAUAAAACUUUUAGCAA
rnacentral:misc_RNA from 1 species